rnacentral:rRNA from 1 species
GACGAACGCUGGCGACGUGCUUAACACAUGCAAGUCGAACGGAAAGGCCCUGCUUUUGUGGGGUGCUCGAGUGGCGAACGGGUGAGUAACACGUGAGUAACCUGCCCUUGACUUUGGGAUAACUUCAGGAAACUGGGGCUAAUACCGGAUAGGAGCUCCUGCUGCAUGGUGGGGGUUGGAAAGUUUCGGCGGUUGGGGAUGGACUCGCGGCUUAUCAGCUUGUUGGUGGGGUAGUGGCUUACCAAGGCUUUGACGGGUAGCCGGCCUGAGAGGGGGACCGGCCACAUUGGGACUGAGAUACGGCCCAGACUCCAACGGGAGGCAGCAGUGGGGAAUAUUGCACAAUGGGCGGAAGCCUGAUGCAGCAACGCCGCGUGCGGGAUGACGGCCUUCGGGUUGUAAACCGCUUUCGCCUGUGACGAAGCGUGAGUGACGGUAAUGGGUAAAGAAGCACCGGCUAACUACGUG